AGUCGAACGAGACCUUCGGGUCUAGUGGCGCACGGGUGAGUAACACGUGGGUAUCUACCUAGCUGUACGGAACAACCGCGGGAAACUGCGGCUAAUACCGUAUACGCCCUUCGGGGGAAAGAUUUAUCGCAGCUAGAUGAGCCCGCAUUUGAUUAGCUAGUUGGUGAGGUAAAAGCUCACCAAGGCGAUAAUCAAUAGCUGAUUUGAGAGGAUGAUCAGCCACACUGGGACUGAGAUACGGCCCAGACUCC
rnacentral:rRNA from 1 species